GACGAACGCUGGCGGCGUGCCUAAUACAUGCAAGUCGAGCGAAGUUUUUCUGGUUCUUGCACUAGAAAAACUUAGCGGCGAACGGGUGAGUAACACGUAAAGAACCUGCCUCAUAGACUGGGACAACUAUUGGAAACGAUAGCUAAUACCGGAUAACAGCAUUAACUGCAUGGUUGAUGUUUAAAAGUUUGUUUUGCUAACACUAUGAGAUGGCUUUGCGGUGCAUUAGCUAGUUGGUGGGGUAAAGGCCUACCAAGGCGACGAUGCAUAGCCGACCUGAGAGGGUGAUCGGCCACACUGGGACUGAGACACGGCCCAGACUCCUACGGGAGGCAGCAGUAGGGAAUCUUCCGCAAUGGGCGAAAGCCUGACGGAGCAACGCCGCGUGAGUGAAGAAGGAUUUCGGUUCGUAAAGCUCUGUUGUUAGGGAAGAAUGAUUGUGUAGUAACUAUACACAGUAGAGACGGUACCUAACCAGAAAGCCACGGCUAACUACGUG
rnacentral:rRNA from 1 species